rnacentral:lncRNA from 1 species
GCCAUAUCUGAAUUGACUUGUUACGUGGACGCACCCAACAAACACAAACUCCAUACUUUGUUUGAUCCAUACAUGAAACUGAUAAAGUAUAUCUGAUAUUAAUUGGAGUUCGAGAGGGAGAGAGAGCGAUAUGUGAGUAUAUAUGGCGCCGUCAUUGCACGAUGUAACGUAUCUUCUUAAUUUAUUAUGGCAUUUAUUCUUUUUUUUUUUUUAAUUUAGUAAUCUAAUCCAAAAUUGGAACUUCAUCAACACAAUAAGCAUUAGAAGAAAUUUGUUGGUGAUCCAAAAAAAAAAAGAAAUAUUCUUUCAUUUCUUUGUUUUUUUUUUUGGUGGAAUCGUUCAUUUCUUU